GACUGACUGUCAGGCUUAUUGUCAGGCUUAUUGUCAGGCUUACUGUCAGGCUUACUGUCAGGCUUACUGUCAGGCUUAUUAUCAGGCUGACUAUCAGACUUACUAUCAGGCUUACUGUCAGGCUUACUGUCAGGCUUACUGUCAGGCUUACUGUCAGACUUACUAUUAGGCUUACUGUCAGGCUUACUGUCAGGCUUAUUAUCAGGCUUACUAUCAGGCUUACUGUCAGGCUUACUGUCAGGCUGACUAUCAGACUUAUUAUCAGGCUUACUGUCAGGCUGACUAUCAGACUUAUUAUCAGGCUUACUGUCAGGCUUACUGUCAGGCUGACUAUCAGACUUAUUAUCAGGCUUAUUAUCAGGCUUACUGUCAGGCUGACUAUCAGGCUUACCAUUAGACUUACGGUCAGGCUUACUGUCAGGCUUACUAUUAGACUAUCAGGCUGACUAUCAGGCUUACUAUCAGGCUUACUCCAUGUUAUUACAUCAAUAUAUUCAACUAAUGCCCACAUUUCAGAGGUUGAAUGUCCUGAAUGUCAGGGGAAGGUCGCUAGCCUAGCCCAACAUUCAGAUCCAUAGUCACCCUACUUCCUGAAUGUCAGGGGAAGGUCGCUAGCCUAGCCCUACAUUCAGAUCCAUAGUCACCCUACUUCCUGAAUGUCAGGGGAAGGUCGCUAGCCCAACAUUCAGACCCAUAGUCACCCUACUUCCUGAAUGUCAGGGGAAGGUCGCUAGCCUAGCCCAACAUUCAGAUCCAUAGUCACCCUACUUCCUGAAUGUCAGGGGAAGGUCGCUAGCCCAACAUUCAGAUCCAUAGUCACCCUACUUCCUGAAUGUCAGGGGAAGGUUGCUAGCCUAGCCCUACAUUCAGAUCCAUAGUCAC
rnacentral:lncRNA from 1 species